rnacentral:rRNA from 1 species
UUGAUAUUGGUUCGCGCCCCUCGACCGUCUGGAGGUCUUUGCGGAUCGUUCGCGAGUCCAACUCGCUCUCUUGUCACGCCUUUGACUCAUGAACUCGAGUCAGACUCAUUCACUGCUGACUUUUUUGAGGAUCGUUCGUUCUUCACUCUCUUGCUAUUACCCGCAGGGAGCGCAGCAACCAAUGGUGCAUAUUAUCAUAUAGAAAGAACCGAAGCAUAG